AGAGUUUGAUCCUGGCUCAGAUUGAACGCUGGCGGCAUGCCUAACACAUGCAAGUCGAACGGAGGGCUUCGGCCCUCAGUGGCGGACGGGUGAGUAACGCGUAGGGAUCUGCCCCGUGGUGGGGGACAACCUGGGGAAACUCAGGCUAAUACCGCAUACGCUCCACGGAGGAAAGCGGGGGACCUUCGGGCCUCGCGCCGCGGGAUGAACCUACGUCCGAUUAGCUAGUUGGUGGGGUAAGGGCCCACCAAGGCGACGAUCGGUAGCUGGUCUGAGAGGACGGCCAGCCACACUGGGACUGAGACACGGCCCAGACUCCUACGGGAGGCAGCAGUGGGGAAGAUUGGACAAUGGGCGAAAGCCUGAUCCAGCUAUGCCGCGUGUGUGAAGAAGGCCUGCGGGUUGUAAAGCAC
rnacentral:rRNA from 1 species